UUGCGCUUUAACACAUCUGUUUAUGUUACUGUAUUCAUUUAUAGCAAAGACUGGCUCUGCUUCUUGUAGAAUGUUCUGUAUCCGAUGAGUAGUAUAUAUCAUAUUUGCAUGCGUAGAUGUUGCAGCUGGGAGAGUUAACGCAGUCGAUUUCUUGCUCAGAGGCAAGACUUCCUUCAGAGUACUUUUCUCUUGGCAAGAGCAUUCCAAGAUUAUAAGAGACUCAAACUCAAUUCCAAUUGAACUCGUUGAGUCCUUAACUACAUUCAAGUGAUGAAUUUGUUCAAGAUGAGGUGCCGCCCUUCUGGGAAAACGAUCUUCAGAGUAUUAUUCAGAUGGGUUUCGAGAGAUAGUCAGCAACAGAGCAACAACUGUAUGCAAAACGAAACAAAAAGCAACAACAUAUGUCUUGUUUUAAGAUGUCUAAUAUCUACUAUAUGAGUAUGACAUUCCCAUUUGGUUGUAUAUUGCAUAGGUUCGGAACUUGUGAAAAUUGAGCCAAACAAAUGGUGAACGAAGAACGGUACGGAGUUAUUAAUAGUCUCUGGAAGUAAU